CCUACGGGUGGCAGCAGUGGGGGAUAUUGCACAAUGGGGGAAACCCUGAUGCAGCGACGCCGCGUGAGUGAAGACGUAUUUCGUUAUGUAAAGCUCUAUCAGCAGGGAAGAAAAUGACAGUACCUGAACAAGAAGCCCCGUCUAACUACGUGCCAGCAGCCUCGGUAAUCCGUAGGGGGCAAGCGUUAUCCGGAUUUACGGGGUGUAAAGGGAGCGUAGACGGUUAUGUAAGUCUGGAGUGAAAGGCCGGGGCCCAACCCCGGGACUGCUUUGGAAACUGUGUAACUGGAGUACGGGAGGGGCAGGCGGAAUUCCUGGUGUAGCGGUGAAAUGCGUAGAUAUCAGGAGGAACACCGGGGGCGAAGGUGGCUUGCUGGACUGAAACUGACGUUGAGGCUCGAAAGCGUGGGGAGCAAACAGGAUUAGAUACCCGGGUAGUC
rnacentral:rRNA from 1 species